UUAGAUCUUGCAAGAAAGGCUUCGUCGGAGAUUCCAAUUUUAUGCCCGCCAGGGAACUCGGGGUCGCCUCUCUCUUCGUUUGAGCCGCCGCUACCGCCUUCUUUGCCGCCCUUAACGCCUCCGGCAUCCACAGUGUCUACACUCCGAGGAUUGCGCCUUAUGCGAGGAAUUUGAUGUGGUUCGUGAGCAAUGGGCUAAGUUUUUUACCAGCAAGUAUUUAUUAUUGGCUUUAGCGCGCUUGAUCGAGUUGGUUUAGUUGUUAUAGAAUAAAUUUUAUAUUAAAAUGUAUGUUUAUGUUGAAAUUGGAACAUAUAUUUAAAUGUAAUAUGUGCACUUUGGUUUUGGGAUAUAUAGUAUACAAAACUCCAGUUGUUGUUUUUA